GUUCUUUCUGUUCUUCCUUGUGCAGGCGUCGAGCAAAGCGAUUCGCAGCAGCAGGAGUAGCACGCUCGUGUGCAACAAAGGCUUGAGCAAAGCUGGCCCAGUUCGCACGUGCCAAGCAGCCCAGCGCAGCUGCACACCCACGGCCCAGCAGCGACACAGGCCCAGGAGGAACCAGCAGGCCGACCAGCUGGUGAACCAGGCCGUGGCCCAGCACAGUUGCGGGAGCAAGCAAAGGCCCAGCUAGCAAGUGAAUCACGCAGCUGCCAGGCCAUGCUACAGCAAGCACGCAUGAAAAAAAAAAAGCUAAGCACAGUGAGCUAAAUUUGUUCCUCCCUGUUAAUUUGUGCACUAAGCUAGUUAAUUCUUGUAACGUGAUUAGGUAUUUAUUUAGCACUUUCCUUUGCUAAUCCUUGCUUGUUAGAUAAGUUUUUUUUAUUAUUAGAUUGUUGCAUGAUUAGUCAAAGUGAGGUUUGUUAGCAGCCAG
rnacentral:lncRNA from 1 species